rnacentral:rRNA from 1 species
GACGAACGCUGGCGGCGUGCUUAACACAUGCAAGUCGAACGGAAAGGCCCUGCUUUUGUGGGGUGCCCGAGUGGCGAACGGGUGAGUAACACGUGAGUAACCUGCCCUUGACUUUGGGAUAACUUCAGGAAACUGGGGCUAAUACCGGAUAGGAGCUCCUGCUGCAUGGUGGGGGUUGGAAAGUUUCGGCGGUUGGGGAUGGACUCGCGGCUUAUCAGCUUGUUGGUGGGGUAGUGGCUUACCAAGGCUUUGACGGGUAGCCGGCCUGAGAGGGUGACCGGCCACAUUGGGACUGAGAUACGGCCCAGACUCCUACGGGAGGCAGCAGUGGGGAAUAUUGCACAAUGGGCGGAAGCCUGAUGCAGCAACGCCGCGUGCGAGAUGACGGCCUUCGGGUUGUAAACCGCUUUCGCCUGUGACGAAGCGUGAGUGACGGUAAUGGGUAAAGAAGCACCGGCUAACUACGUGCCAGCAGCCGCGGUGAUACGUAGGGUGCGAGCGUUGUCCGGAUUUAUUGGGCGUAAAGGGCUCGUAGGUGGUUGAUCGCGUCGGAAGUGUAAUCUUGGGGCUUAACCCUGAGCGUGCUUUCGAUACGGGUUGACUUGAGGAAGGUAGGGGAGAAUGGAAUUCCUGGUGGAGCGGUGGAAUGCGCAGAUAUCAGGAGGAACACCAGUGGCGAAGGCGGUUCUCUGGGCCUUUCCUGACGCUGAGGAGCGAAAGCGUGGGGAGCGAACAGGCUUAGAUACCCUGGUAGUCCACGCUGUAAACGGUGGGUACUAGGUGUGGGGUCCAUUCCACGGGUUCCGUGCCGUAGCUAACGCUUUAAGUACCCCGCCUGGGGAGUACGGCCGCAAGGCUAAAACUCAAAGGAAUUGACGGGGCCCCGCACAAGCGGCGGAGCAUGCGGAUUAGUUCGAUGCAACGCGUAGAACCUUACCUGGGUUUGACAUGGAUCGGGAGUGCUCAGAGAUGGGUGUGCCUCUUUUGGGGUCGGUUCACAGGUGGUGCAUGGCUGUCGUCAGCUCGUGUCGUGAGAUGUUGGGUUAAGUCCCGCAACGAGCGCAACCCUUGUUCACUGUUGCCAGCACGUUAUGGUGGGGACUCAGUGGAGACCGCCGGGGUCAACUCGGAGGAAGGUGGGGAUGACGUCAAGUCAUCAUGCCCCUUAUGUCCAGGGCUUCACGCAUGCUACAAUGGCUGGUACAGAGAGUGGCGAGCCUGUGAGGGUGAGCGAAUCUCGGAAAGCCGGUCUCAGUUCGGGUUGGGGUCUGCAACUCGACCUCAUGAAGUCGGAGUCGCUAGUAAUCGCAGAUCAGCAACGCUGCGGUGAAUACGUUCCCGGGGCU